rnacentral:rRNA from 1 species
CUACGGGAGGCAGCAGUGGGGAAUAUUGGACAAUGGGGGCAACCCUGAUGCAGCGACGCCGCGUGGAGGAUGAAGGAUCUAGGUCUGUAAACUCCUUUUGCACGGAAGGACUUAGGACGGUACCGUGCGAAUAAGCUCCGGCUAACUACGUGCCAGCAGCCGCGGUAAGACGUAGGGAGCAAGCGUUGUCCGGAUUUACUGGGCGUAAAGGGCGCGUAGGCGGACUGUUAAGUGAGUACUGAAAUCUCCAGAGCUCAACUCGGAAACUGGUUCUCAUACUGGCAGACUGGAGGAACGAAAGGUAACUGGAAUUCCUGGUGUAGCGGUGAAAUGCGUUGAUAUCAGGAGGAACUCCAAUGGCGAAGGCAGGUUACUGGUCGUUUCCUGACGCUGAGGCGCGAAAGCGUGGGUAGCAAACAGGAUUAGAAACCCUAGUAGUCC